CAAUUGAGUUGUUAAUUACGUUGAUUAAUUUCUCAUCACUGACUCGUUGUUUAUAACUGGAUCGGGUAAGUUGAGCAAGAUUUCCUUUAAGGCUGUAAUCAUGAUAAUAAUACUACUAAUGUUAAUGGAAGAUAAUAUAUUUAUGUGAACUCCUCUCGAUGUUGGAGUAAUUAUUUCGAAGCGGGAACCUGAGAGGAAAUCGAGAAAAAGAAAUAGUGCAACGGGUAUAAAAGAAAAAGGUGUAGAAAAGGAAUCUGAAGAGAAAAAUAUGCAGAAAGCAAUGAGGGUGAGAGGCCUUCGGAAAAUUGACAAGAUCCGAAGAUUUUAGGGAAAUGGGUUUUUAUUUUUUUGUAAAUGAAAUUUAACAUAAAUACGUUUAAAACGUUAUAGGUCACGAUUAUAAAGAAACUUGUUGGGAAAAUGUUUUGCGAAGGGGUCAGGAGAGGACUUCGAAAAAUCCGAAGUUUUCCCCUCGUAACUUUGAGGAAAAUAUAAUCCUUUUGAAAUAAUAAAUUAAGUUUUUCCAGAGCAACUUGUAUGCUAAGCAUCCUUUUGUCAAGAUUCAUUCGUUAGUCCCCCUUUCGUUAUAGCACAUGCUGUUAACUAUAAACACAUGAAAUAUUAUCACUUAUAAUACACUUUCUUGAUGCACUUACAUAUUUCUGCUCUGUAUUUGUGUGGAAUGUAGAUAACAAAAUAAAUGUCACAGUUUAAACUUGAGAAAAGCCUUGAAUAUUUAUAAUGUGCAAGUUAUAGAUGUAUGUAUGCAUUUCUGUGCAUGUGUGUGUUUUCGGCUAGGGUUCCUUCUUAGCUGCUUCAUUUGUGUAUGUAAAUUUCUAAAAAGAUAAAAGGAGAUCGAUGUCAAAAAAGCUGUAUUACUGAUGAUAUAGAAUAAGCAAGUUAAGAAAGAUUACUAAUAAUUACCAACAACAACACUGAACACCUUUUUGAUCUCCAUGUUUCUAACACACGUGGACAUGCCUACAAAGUCAGAAAACAACACAGCUCCCAUGACUUUCGGAAACAUUUUUUCACGCUCAGAGUUGCUGAAGCAUGGAAUAAACUGCCUGCGUCAGUUGUUAACUGCCAUGACACUGCAUCAUUUAAGGCCCUCAUGCUUUCCGAAAUCCGCCGAAACUACACCUGAUUAUAUAUACACUUUAGAUGAGUUGUAGUGCACCUGUAUUAUUAUUAUUAUUAUUAUAAUUGAGUAAAACUAUAUGAAACCACCCUUUGAAGUUACAGUAAUCUCAUAGAAUUAAGAACAUAGCAACAUUGAGAAAAUAUGAUUCCUCGUCUUGGAUAUAUCAAACAUUUACGAUCCUUCGUUAUAGGUACCGGAAGUGGCUUUGUUUACAUUUCUGAGGAUAACAGAAACCCUUUUCUGUCCGUCCCCCCCAUAUAUAAAAAAACACUUUCUUGAAAUGUAUCCGGUACCUGUACCGAAGUUACGCCCAAAUAUUGAUUUUCUUUUGAUUGGCAUGAGAAAACAAAUGUGUGUAGAGCAUGUCAUUACGCCAGUCUUUCAAUGCCUCAAGGAACUCUGACCCCUAAAAACAUUUAAUAGAUGACAAUGUUAAAUUUUGCAACAUUGAAUUAGUGUAUCAUCUAACUAUUCUCUUUAUCUUGAUGUUUCUUUUCCUAUUUCAGAAUAUCACCUUAUGUUGACACACAAGAAACUUCUUCAUUCAGAUGUGCCUUUCAUAUUUUGACAUCGUUUCACCAACUAAAGCAAGAUGACAUAAUUUAUCAGCAGCAUUCAUCAAUACAUCAAAAUUUAUAAGAAGACAAUAUUUUUCUUGUCUUCACUGUUUGGAAUGUAGAGAAAGUGAAUGCCUUACUGGUUAAUUAAGGUUGGAUAACUUUACAAACGAGUUGACGAUUUCUUUCAGCUGAUUUAGAUAUUAAGUAAGAUCACAGAAGACAGAAACACAGCUCCAAAUUCUUUUCUAGAAAAUGUUGCAGAACUGAAA
rnacentral:lncRNA from 1 species